ACUUUUUCUUGUAUCGUGACUCUUCGUUGCCAUCAUAGAGAGCGGGGGAGAGAGAAGAAACACUCUCUGCCCUCUCAUCUUCGAGCUCCGAUGGAGAUGAGCGUUGCAAGGCUGAAGAAGGACGAGAUCCAGAGGCUGAAGAAGGAGAUCGCGGUCCUGCUGUUGGAGACAUAUGUUCCAGGUUUCCGAUCGCCACUAUGGUGCCUUCCACGCCACCAACCACGUCGCGGUCGAGGAGCAUUUUCCCGCUGCUUUAGGACCAUCCUUCAAUACGAUGUCGCUUCUUCUUCCUAGGGUUUCUCUGAACCAAUUCCUAUGGCCAUUAGAGGCGCCGAUUUCAAGUGGUACGAUGGCUUUUUCUUGUUCAUGCUCGCCACCAGUGUGUAUCCUUUCUCAAUUCAGCUUCUGAAUUUUCCUAAUUUUGAUGCCAUUCUACAUUUUCACUUGCCUCAUCAUUCCUUCCUUCUCUAGCCACUUUCUAAUUUAAUCUUAGUCAGUUCUGUGAGAAACAUUGAAAAAAAAUAAGAAAUGUGUGUUAUUUAACCUCACUACUCCUAGAGUUAUUGUGGCAAUCAAUUGGAAGCGGUAUCAUUCUUGCACAUAUCCCCUGCAUAUAUGGAUUGUGGCGGGGUUUCCUUUCCUUAUUUUAAUUAUUCCGUUCAAUAUCACUAUCUAUUUCUAUUUUUUCAUAUAUGAUAAGGUAGCCUCGUAAAUGAUCCCUCUCCUUUUCUUUCAUUUGUGUUUAGGUCGACUACACCACUGUGUUUGUUUUCCGGGUAUUGAUGUUUGUUGAUAAUGGGCUUUCUGCAGGAAUGGGUUUAGAUUUUGGGUGGCAGCAGAGAUAUGCCCGUUUCUGUGGAAGAGUAGUUGUCCUUUCAAUCCUUGUGUUGCUUCUCUAUCCAUUUCUUUGGGCUUGAACUGUAAUUGGUACCCUGUGGUUCAGCAGUGCCAAGAACUGUUUGCCUGAAGUGGUUAAAAAAUGGGGCUUUCUCAUCUGGUUACUUUUUAGCUAUUGUGGACUCUUUUGCAUUGCUUGCUUGUCUCUGGGUAAGGUUAAAGGAAUGUUAACAGAUUUUGGAGAGAACAUGCACGGCGAGUUUCUUGAAAUUCUUCGCAAUUUAUUGGACUCAUGUACAUUGUCGGGAUCACAAGUCCAUGUUUCUGCUAUUUUUUGGAACAUGCCCACUUAUAGUUAGAUGACAUUAUGCUAUUUUCUGCUAUUGGUUAUUCUAAAUCUAAUUACUCAAUAGGAAAUCUAGAGUUAAUUGGUCCCUAUUGCCCACUUAUAGUUAUCUCUUUUGUCUAGAUGCCAUUGUUUUUGUUUUUUCUUUUAGUUUUAUAUUAAUAUUCAUUAUUA